UACAGAGACUGCAAGCGUUAUUCGGAUUCACUGGGCGUAAAGGGCGCGUAGGCGGUUCGUACAGUCAGACGUGAAAUUCCUGGGCUCAACCUGGGGCUGCGUUUGAUACGUGCGGACUUGAGUGCGGAAGAGGGUCGUGGAAUUCCCAGUGUAGAGGUGAAAUUCGUAGAUAUUGGGAAGAACACCGGUGGCGAAGGCGGCGACCUGGUCCGAUACUGACGCUGAGGCGCGAAAGCGUGGGGAGCAAACAGG
rnacentral:rRNA from 1 species